rnacentral:rRNA from 1 species
CGAGUAUUUGCGUGUUAUCCGCGAGUAUCUGCGCCUCGCGUGAAGCGCGAGGGAGUGGCAAAUUGGUUAGUAACGCGUAGGGAACCGACCCGGAUGUGGGGAAUAACUCAUCGAAAGGUGAGAUAAUACCCCAUAGCCUGGUCCGCUAUUAUGGCGGAUCAGUAAAGAUUUAUCGCGUCCGGAUGGUCCUGCGUCCUAUCAGCUAGUUGGUGAGGUAACGGCUCACCAAGGCUACGACGGGUAGGGGGUGUGAGAGCAUGAUCCCCAACAUUGGAACUGCGACACAGUCCAAACACCUACGGGUGGCUGCAGUCGAAUCUUCGGCAAUGCACGAAAGUGUGACCGAGCGACGCUGCGUGCAGGAAGAAGGCCUUCGGGUUGUAAACUGCUGUUCUUAGGGAAGAAUUUUUGACGGUACCUAAGCAGAAAGGGGCACCUAAUCAUGUGCCAGCAGGUGCGGUAAUACAUGAGCCCCAAGCGUUACCCGGAUUUAUUGGGCGUAAAGCGUCCGCAGGCGGGAUGGUGCGUCGACUGUUAAAUCUCAAGGCUCAACCUUGAAUCUGCAGUGGAUACGGCCAUUCUUGAGGCAGGGAGAGGUAAGCGGAACUUCUGGUGGAGCGGUGAAAUGCGUUGAUAUCAGAGGGAACACCAAUUGCGAAGGCAGCUUACUGGUCCUGUCCUGACGCUCAGGGACGACAGCGUGGGAAGUGAAUGGGAUUAGAUACCCCAGUAAUCCACGCCGUAAACGAUGCCAACUAGGCAUUGGGAGUAUCGACCCUCUCAGUGUCGAAGCUAACGCGUUAAGUUGGCCGCCUGGGUAGUACGAGCGCAAGCUUAAAACUCAAAGGAAUAGACGGGAGCCCGCACAAGCGGUGGAGCGUGUGGUUUAAUUCGAUGAUAAGCGAGGAACCUUACCAGGGCUUGAAACCUAACUGUGAUUUCCCAGAAACGGGAAAUGUCUUCGAGAUCGUUAGGCAGGUGUUGCAUGGUUGCCGUCAGCUCGUGUCGUGAGAUGUUCUCUUUAGUGAGGUAACGAGCGCAACCCUCGUCAUAUGUUGCUUUUCAUAUGAGACUGCCGCGGCUAACGCGGAGGAAGGUGAGGAUGACGUCAAAUCAGCAUGAUCCUCUGACGCCCUGGGCGACACACGCGCUACAAUGGUUGGGACAAUGAGUCUUACGCGAACCCGCGAGGGGGAGCUAAUCUUUAAACCCAAUCUCAGUUCGGAUUGGAGUCUGCAACUCGACUCCAUGAAGUUGGAAUCGCUAGUAACCGCAGAUCAGCCACGCUGCGGUGAAUACGUUCUCGGGCUUUGUACUCGGAUGCCUUGCAGCUGCAUCCGCCAGUCGGUGAAAAUCCGACCAUGAAUAAACAGAAUUCGUGAAGCGAAAUCGCAGCCCAAAAGAGGUGACUCUUCGGGUGAA